AUACGUAGGUGGCAAGCGUUGUCCGGAUUUAUUGGGCGUAAAGCGAGCGCAGGCGGUUUCUUAAGUCUGAUGUGAAAGCCCCCGGCUCAACCGGGGAGGGUCAUUGGAAACUGGGAGACUUGAGUGCAGAAGAGGAGAGUGGAAUUCCAUGUGUAGCGGUGAAAUGCGUGGAUAUAUGGAGGAACACCAGUGGCGAAGGCGGCUCUCUGGUCUGUAACUGACGCUGAGGCUCGAAAGCGCGGGGAGCAAACAGGAUUAGAUCCCCUGGUAGUCCACGCCGUAAACGAUGAGUGCUAAGUGUUGGAGGGUUUCCGCCCUUCAGUGCUGCAGCAAACGCAUUAAGCACUCCGCCUGGGGAGUACGACCGCAAGGUUGAAACUCAAAGGAAUUGGCGGG
rnacentral:rRNA from 1 species